rnacentral:rRNA from 1 species
AUUUAUGGCUAUAUCACCAUAAACGUGCCCAUUCCCAUUUAAUUUUGGAAUUUAAGCAGGGUUGGACUUGGUUAGUACUUGGAUAGAAGAAAGCAAAUAAUUUUGACUA